AGUGAACGCUGGCGGUAGGCCUAACACAUGCAAGUCGAACGGCAGCACAGUAAGAGCUUGCUCUUACGGGUGGCGAGUGGCGGACGGGUGAGGAAUACAUCGGAAUCUACUUAUUCGUGGGGGAUAACGUAGGGAAACUUACGCUAAUACCGCAUACGACCUACGGGUGAAAGCAGGGGAUCUUCGGACCUCGCGCGAUUGAAUGAGCCGAUGUCGGAUUAGCUAGUUGGCGGGGUAAAGGCCCACCAAGGCGACGAUCCGUAGCUGGUCUGAGAGGAUGAUCAGCCACACUGGAACUGAGACACGGUCCAGACUCCUACGGGAGGCAGCAGUGGGGAAUAUUGGACAAUGGGCGCAAGCCUGAUCCAGCCAUACCGCGUGGGUGAAGAAGGCCUUCGGGUUGUAAAGCCCUUUUGUUGGGAAAGAAAAGCAGCAGGUUAAUACCCCGCUGUUCUGACGGUACCCAAAGAAUAAGCACCGGCUAACUUCGUG
rnacentral:rRNA from 1 species